rnacentral:rRNA from 1 species
UACGUAGGGUGCGAGCGUUGUCCGGAAUUAUUGGGCGUAAAGAGCUUGUAGGCGGUUUGUCGCGUCUGCUGUGAAAUCUCAAGGCUCAACCUUGAGCUUGCAGUGGGUACGGGCAGACUAGAGUGUGGUAGGGGAGACUGGAAUUCCUGGUGUAGCGGUGAAAUGCGCAGGUAUCAGGAGGAACACCGAUGGCGAAGGCAGGUCUCUGGGCCGCAACUGACGCUGAGGAGCGAAAGCAUGAGGAGCGAACAGG